GUGCUUGCUUCAGUAGCAUGUAUACUAAAAUUGGAACAAUACAGAGAAGAUUAGCAUGCCCCCUGCACAAUGAUGACAUUCAAAUUUGUAAAGCAUUCCAUAUUUUU
ensembl:snRNA U6 U6 spliceosomal RNA